AAUAACGGAUCUUCUUUAACCGACAACCGCUGAAAGGUUUUUGCCAAAUUCAAAAUGGCGGUCUUUGUUUGUAGAUUUCCUUCUUGACGAGAGCGAGAUCAGCCGUCUUUUGAGUCACACAGUUGAAUCAUGAAGCGUGUAUUCAGUGUUCCUGAAAAGGUGACAGGAGGGGGUACAGUCACCUACAGCUGGCAGCAAAAAUUAGGCAACUAUUUAGCUGUAACUGGGACAAACAGAGUUGUGGUGAUUUAUGAUCGUCAUGGAGAUCAGAGAGACGAAAUCAACCUUCCAGGGUGAGUUGCUUUAUUUUGUCACAUACGGUACUGUACAUGUGGUUCUCUCACUGAAAUAGAGAGCUGUGGUGAAAUACUUGAAAUUUAUUGUGUGCAGAAAGAUUUCAAGGUUUUAAGGUCCAUGGCAUACUGUAUACUGUUUUUAAAGUAAAUACAAAGGGUCAGCACAAUGUUUUAAAAAAAUAAGCAGUUUCCAUGUUCUGCAGCUUACGUGUACUUUGGUCCACAUUUACAACUCUGCUCAUGAAUAGACCAAUUUUGAUAUAUUAAAAUUCAGCCUAAAACAAUAGACUUCAGUACGAGGCUCUGGGGAAUAACUGCAGAGUCUGUGGGGUUUAAUUGCCAGAACCUCGUGCUGAGGUCUGCUGUAUUAGGCUGAAUUUUAAUAUAUCAAAAUUGGUCAAUUGGCUAUUCUUGUAUACCUUGUAGGCCAAAAUCGUACACAAAACCAUAACAGUGUCUAGUGUCUACUAAAGCAACUGGACAACAUAUGAUUUACGUACACUUUAUAUGUAAAGUAUAUGUGCUGCCAGUGGUUCAAUUUUUACCUCUGUUGUAAUUUUUUCUAAGCAGUGUCUCUUUUUUCACUUUUUUGGGUGGAAGGGAGGGGGUGGGUCUUAAUAAGAAUACCAUAUGUGUACACUACCCACCCUCCCCUCAGUUCCAUGUGAAUUUUAAGUUAUUUUCAAUUAAAAAAAAUCUAAAGCAGAGGUAAAGAUUGAACCAUAACAUACAUGUCUGUAGAUUUACACCCCUGUUCCCUAGAUAGGGGACUAAACUGCAUCAUUAACCCAUUGACUUCCUUGCUGCCCGUA